AUCUCCCCCAAGAGUCCACAUCGACGGGGAGGUUUGGCACCUCGAUGUCGGCUCAUCGCAUCCUGGGGCUGUAGUCGGUCCCAAGGGUUGGGCUGUUCGCCCAUUAAAGCGGUACGCGAGCUGGGUUCAGAACGUCGUGAGACAGUUCGGUCCCUAUCCGUCGCGGGCGCAGGAAAUUUGAGAGGAGCUGUCCUUAGUACGAGAGGACCGGGAUGGACGCACCGCUGGUGUACCAGUUGUUCUGCCAAGGGCAUCGCUGGGUAGCUAUGUGCGGACGGGAUAAGUGCUGAAAGCAUCUAAGCAUGAAGCCCCCCUCAAGAUGAGAUUUCCCAUUCCGCAAGGAAGUAAGAUCCCUGAAAGAUGAUCAGGUUGAUAGGUCUGAGGUGGAAGUGUGGCGACACAUGGAGCUGACAGAUACUAAUCGAUCGAGGACUUAACCAAUUU
rnacentral:rRNA from 1 species